rnacentral:rRNA from 1 species
CCGCGGUAAUACGGAGGAUCCGAGCGUUAUCCGGAUUUAUUGGGUUUAAAGGGUGCGUAGGCGGCACUUUAAGUCAGGGGUGAAAGCCCAACGCUUAACGUUGGAACUGCCAUUGAUACUGUCGAUCUUGAAUGUGUUUGAUGUGGGCGGAAUAUGACAUGUAGCGGUGAAAUGCUUAGAUAUGUCAUAGAACACCGAUUGCGAAGGCAGCUCACAAAGCCACUAUUGACGCUGAGGCACGAAAGCGUGGGGAUCA